rnacentral:misc_RNA from 1 species
AAGUCGUAACAAGGUUUCCGUAGGUGAACCUGCGGAAGGAUCAUUGCUGAGCGUGGUGCCCUCCUCCGUGCUCGCGCACGGUCGAGGCACCUUUCUCACUAACCCAUGUGAACUCGUGAAUAUGUGACUGGAGCCAGCCUCACACGGCUGGUUUCCUUUUUAACAAUCACCACAAUCAACGUCUUCUCUGACUGAGAUAAAAGGGUUCAUGUAACAGUGAACCUGAAACAAGACAAACUAUCACAACUUUUAACAACGGAUAUCUUGGCUCGC